GCAGCUGUAAGGCCCAAUAUUUGCCCGGCCCGUAAUAAUAAAAACCAAAAAUAAUAAUUAAAUGGCCACAGUCCAAAUUACAAUGGGCUUGAGUGGCCCGAACACAAAAUACCCAAAAUGAUACCAAACCUAUACCCAUUACACUGGUCCAAUACCCCUACCCAAUCAUAACACAACCCAAAACACUUUCCAGAAACCCUAGGGCAAAC
rnacentral:lncRNA from 1 species